GUGGGUAUAGCUCAGUGGUGGAGUCCCUGCUUAGCAUGCAGGAGGGUCCUGGGUUUGAUCCCCAGUACCUCCA
rnacentral:tRNA from 1 species